CCCAUAGACUUUAACACCUUUUUCAUACACUAUAACACAUGAAAAUACCAACAUGUCCUUCGACUUCUCUUGUUUAUUCUUUUUAGUUAAAUCAUAAAUAUAUAAUAAUCAAUUCAAUAUUUAUAUUUCUUUUAGCUCUCUGAUAAAGCAUCAUUCUCUUUCUCUUUGUACCUCUCCCACGAGACUAGACCACCCAUCUAUUUCUUCAUGUACAAUUCCACAAAAAUUAAAUCUUGCGAUGAUGGAUCUUCAAAGCUCAAAUCUCGAGCCUGUGACCGCCAAGAUCCUGCUCAGAUGCCGAACCCGUCACCGCCAAGAUUCUCCCUUUCUGACCCUUAAACUUCUGGGAUCAAGACAUCGUCGACUACUGGCUCAUGGUCUCGCUUUUUCACGGUGGUGACGAAGAGAAAUAGGGUGACGAAGGGAAAUAUGCCGUUAAGGGUUUCGAUCUAGAAUUGCUUAUUCAUGGCGGCGACAAAGCCAAAGAGGUGUUUAGGAUUUCGAUUUGAUUUUGAAAUAUGGAUUUUUAUUAUUUAGUUUUUUUUUCCUCUCUUGAAUCAGAGCUCAGAGAUGUUGUUGGGUUUUCUAUAUUUUGAUUAUUUAGGUUUUGUAUUCUUUAGCAACUCACUCUGGUGCUGCGUUUAUCUCGGUAGAAAAAACGUCUCUUGCUUCGCUUCCAUAAUCCUCAUCUCAAAUCAAGGGGAUGGUGUUUGCUCCUCCACUUCAAGGACUAGUAGUCCAGCGUGAAAUCAAGUUCUAUCUCAGGUCAUGAUGAGAAACAGCUCUCCACCUCUCUUGUAUUUUUUCAUGUUUUUGUUCUCUUUCUGUGCUUUGAGAUGUCAUGUUAUUUGAAUGAAAUGUCAUGAUUGUCUGAAUUCUAUAUAUAUUUGGAAAAUAUCUUUUCAAAUACACGUUCGGUUUUAUGGUA